GUGGGGUGAAUCUGGAGGGUUGGGUGAGCCUCAGCAAUGCAUACUGGGUGUGGUGCUGAACCCCGGGAGUCCUGAACUAAACAGAAUAUACACUGCCCUUCAAAGCCUGGAGGUCCAGGGGAGGAGAGGUAAGUAAGUCCUUGUGAAAUUGUAACUUUUAUAAGGUGAAGGACUUCUUGUUUCUCUUUUUCUUUCUUUUUGGUAGAUAGGCUUAUAGCUUGUGCUGGCUUUGACCUUGACCUUAUUCUGUAACUGAGAAUGACCUUGAAUUCUCGAUCCUCCCCAGCUCCCCCUCACAGGCGGGCAUUCCCCCAUCAUGCCAGGUUUCUAUAGAGCUAAGGACCAAAUCUAGACCUUUGUUUUGGGUCACUGACUCCCUUCCUUGGUGAGAGUUCAGAUGUCAUUCCUGUAGUGCCCCUCCACGAAACUCCAUCUUUAGACCCUACUGGGUGCUGUCUGCUACCCUACUGGGUGCAGAUCUUUGGAUAGGUAAACACUCUAACAACUGGAUAACAGCCACAGCCUGGGCUGGACUUGAAUUUGCCACCAUCCCCACACCUCUGCCACCAGAGUGCUGUACCAACAGCCUAGGCCAGCCUGCACAGGAGUCAAAGGUCACCACCUGACCCCAAUGUACCUCUCCAGCUGCUGCCUCUGUCCCCCACACUGCUUGCUUGCUCUGUGGAGUAAAGUAAAAUUAACUGGCUAAACUGGGUGUGGUGGAGCUCACCUUCAAUCCCAGUCCUUGGGAGGCAGAGGCAAGCAGAUCUCUAUGAAUCCAAGACCAACCUGGUCUACAGAUUGAGUUCCAGGACAACCAAGGCUAUACAGAGAAACUGUGUCUCAAAAAUAAAUAAAUAAAUAAAUAAAUAAAUAAAUAAAUAAAUAAAUAAAUAAAUAAAACAAA
rnacentral:lncRNA from 1 species